AGUUCAGAUUGUAGGCUGAAACUCGCCUAUAUGAAGUCGGAAUUGCUAGUAAUCGCGGAUCAGCAUGCCGCGGUGAAUACGUUCCCGGGCCUUGUACACACCGCCCGUCACACCAUGAGAGUCGAUAACACCCGAAGCCUGUAGUCUAACCUUAGGGGGGACGCAGUCGAAGGUGGGAUUGAUAAUUAGGGUGAAGUCGUAACAAGGUACC
rnacentral:rRNA from 1 species